GUUCUUUACCUGCCGUGAAAUUUGUCCCUGCUGGACACCGUACACAGUCUGCCUGGGAGCCAAUCACAUCAAAGCAGAAGCAGCACCAGAAAAAGGCUCCUGAUUGGCUGCUCUGAUCCAGGAAAUGAACACAGAACUGGAUUUUAAUGAGAAAUCACUGCAGUGAAAAGGAUCACAGAUUCCUGCCUGGACUGCUGACAGGAGGUGCAGCAGGUCCUUCUCCAAAACAUCCUCAAGAGAUGUCCACUGAGAAAAAGAAGACGUAGAUGAAGACAAAGAAUAUGAUGUAGAUAAAGAAGACAGAGAAGAAGACAUAAAAGAAGAAGACGUAGAAGAAAAAGACACAGAAGAAGAAGAUGAAGACAGUGCAGGAAAAGAAGACUUUGAAAUAAGUUGUCAUUAGUUUUGCUGAGAGGUCCAUUAAAGACUUUCCUUCCUCAUGUUGCUGCACUACAUUAACCUCACAUACACUUUUCAUUUUGUGCAUUCAGGCUUUUUUUUAUAACUUUAAUGCUUCAUAAACAAAAUGACGCCUCCACAGAUUCAAGAUAAACUGCGAUUUAAUCUGUCAUGUUUUUGCAUUAAAUAUAAACAUUUAUUCGUG